UUGUCAUUGUCAACCUACUGUUUUCAUGCUCUCAAGCCUUCGCUUCCUCAGGUUUGCUUGCCUGUUUUCUGAACUUUGCAUGGAUCUUUGGAUUUUGGUUUUGUGGAUUAGCCCUUGUUCGAUUUAGCUGCAUUCGCUGACAGACUUGCUGUGUGUGAGACCCCUGAACUGGUCAGUAAGAACAAGGUCUUCCAAACUGUAUUUUGCACCCUGGACUUUUCUCUGCACCUGAUUCCAAGUUUUGUCCUGAAUUGUCACAGUUGUCCCUUCUCUGAGAUCUACAGAAGAAGUCAAGAGUGUUUCAUUCACAGAGACCCAACUGAAUCCACCAAGAGCAAGCGCCUGGUGACAAUGACAAAAUACACUUCCCUUCAAGAGGUGGAAAUCUUGAGCAGGGCCUGAAUCAAAGAUGGAUGCCCAUCCGUCUCCACCAGUCUAAAAUCUGCAUUUCUCCAAUACUGUGGUUCAGUACUAAACACCUGCAAAUGAUGUCCACAUCAAAACACCAAUUUGGGCUUUCUCAUAAGUGUUAGAUGAGCAUUUAACUAAGCACCACUGAACCUAAAGUGGCCAAACAGAGCCCCCAGUGUAGCUAAACCUGUAGUUGUGUUAAAUUGAUCUCUCUUCUUAAAAAUGGAACAAACUAAA